AACGAACGCUGGCGGCAUGCCUAACACAUGCAAGUCGAACGAGACCUUCGGGUCUAGUGGCGCACGGGUGCGUAACGCGUGGGAACCUGCCCUUAGGUUCGGAAUAACUCCCCGAAAGGGGUGCUAAUACCGGAUAAUGUCUUCGGACCAAAGAUUUAUCGCCUUUGGAUGGGCCCGCGUUGGAUUAGCUAGUUGGUAGGGUAAAAGCCUACCAAGGCGACGAUCCAUAGCUGGUCUGGGAGGAUGAUCAGCCACACUGGGACUGAGACACGGCCCAGACUCCUACGGGAGGCAGCGGUGGGGAAUAUUGGACGAUGGGCGAAAGCCUGAUCCAGCAAUGCCGCGUGAGUGAUGAAGGCCUUAGGGUUGUAAAGCUCUUUUACCCGGGAUGAUAAUGACAGUACCGGGAGAAUAAGCUCCGGCUAACUCCGUG
rnacentral:rRNA from 1 species